rnacentral:lncRNA from 1 species
UUUGAUCUCUUCUCCUUUCUCUACCUUGCUUUAAGCAUAAGGGUAGAAUUUUCAAGCUUCCCGUGGUCAAGAGAAGUUUAUUGGGAAUUAGUUAUUCGAUAAGUUUCCUCCAUAUUCCCUAUUCUCUCAAAUUUUGCACUGUUCUUCAUAUUAAUCUUUUAUGUUUUCAUGUUAUAUGCCUACUGUAUGUGUGUAUUAGAAAAUUAAUUUUCAAUCCGUUAAUUUCUUUGCUUGUUUUUUUAUCUUGAUGUUGCGUUGUCUAUUCCUCAUUUUUAUAGUUUCGUAUAUGCAUAAUUUGAUUUCCUUUCAACGAUAUUGUGCCUUAAGUUUUAUAUUUCUUAGUCUCGUUUUUACAUUUGAUUUUCACUCCUUUCGCUACCUUCUAUAAGCGUAAAGGUAGAAUUUUCAGGUUUCCCGAGGAAAAAAGAAGCUUAUUUGGAAAUACUUGUCAGGUAAGUUUCCUCCAUAUCCCCUAUUCUUUUCCAUUUCGCAUUGUUCUUUAUUCUUCUCUUUUAUGUUUGAUUGUUAUUUGUUGACCGCAUGUAUGUAGUAGAGAAUUAAUUUUCAAUCCUUUGAUUUCUUUGUUUGUUUUUAAAAGCUUGAUGUUGUGUUUUCUAUUGCUCAUAUCUUUAGUUUCGUAUUCGAAUAAUUUUUCUACUCUCAAGGACAUUGUGGUUUUAACAUUUGAUCUCUACUCCUUUCUCUACCUUGCUUUAAGCAUAAGGGUAGAAUUUUUCAGGUUUCCAAUGGUAAAGAGAAGUUUAUUGGGAAUUAGUUCUUGGAUAAGUUUCCUCCGUAUUCCCUAUUCUCUCAAAUUUUGCACUGUNNNNNNNNNNNNNNNNNNNNNNNNNNNNNNNNNNNNNNNNNNNNNNNNNNNNNNNNNNNNNNNNNNNNNNNNNNNNNNNNNNNNNNNNNNNNNNNNNNNNGUAUUUCCACACUAUACUUCUCAUUUCCUCUGGAAUCUGUAUAUUUCUACUUUCGCGCUUACCAGACUAAGUACGUGUGUCAUCGAAAAUUAAUUCUGAAUCCGUUAAUUUCUUUGUUUGUUUUUUAUCUCGAUCUUACGUUGUCUAUUCCUCAUUUCUUUAGUUUAUACCUGCAUAAUUUGAUUUUCUUUCAAUGAUAUUGCGCCUUGAGAGUUAAUUUUCUUAUUCUCAAUUUUACAUUUGAUCUCUACUCCUUUCGCUACAUUCUAUAAGCGUAAGGGUAGAAUUUUCAAGUUUCCCGAGGAAAAGAGAAGUUUGUUUGAAAAUACUUGUCAGGUAAGUUUUCUCCGCAUCCCCUAUUCUCCUCCAUUUUGCAUUGUUCUUCAUUCUUCUCUUUUAUAUUUGAGUGUUAUUUGUUCACUGCCUGUAUGUUGUACAGAAUGAAUUUUCAAUCCUUUGAUUUCAUUGCUUUUUUUUAGAGCUCUAUGUUGUGUUUUCUAUUAUUCAUUUCUUUAGUUUUGUAUCAAAAUAAUUUUAUUUACUCUCAAGGACAUUGUGGUUUUAACAUUUGAUCUCUUCUCAUUUCUCUAUCUUGCUUUAAGCGUAAGGGUAGAAUUUUCAGGUUUCCCGUGGUCAUGAGAAGUUUAUUUCGAGUUAGUUCUUCAGUAAGUUUCCUCUAUAUUCCCUAUUCUCUCAAAAAUUUUGCACUGUUUCUCCUAUUUAUCUUUUCGUGUUAUAUGUCUACUGUAUGUGUGUACUAGAAAAUUAAUUCUGAAUCCGUUAAUUUCUUUGUCUAUUUUUUUUCUUGAUGUUGCGUUUUCUAUUCCUCAUUUCUUUAGUUUCGUAUAUGCAUAAUUUGAUUUCCUUUCAAGGAUAUUGCGCAAUAGUUAAUUUUCUUAUUCUCGUUUUUACAUUUGAUCUCUACUCCUUUCGCUACAUUCUCUAAGCGUAAGGGUAGAAUUUAAAGGUUUCCCAAGGAAAAGAGAAGUGUUUUUGGAAAUACUUGUCAGGUAAGUUUUCUCCGUAUCCCUUAUUCCCCACCACUUCGCAUUGUUCUUCAUUCUUCUCUUUUAUGUUUGAGUGUUAUUUGUUCACUGCGUGUAUCUAGUAGAGAAUUAAUUUUCAAUCCUUUGAUUUCAAUUUUUUUUUUUUUAUACCUCUAUGUUGUGUUUUCUAUUACUCAUUUCUUUAGUUUCGUAUCAAAAUAAUUUUAGUUACUUUCAAGUACAUUGUGGUUUUAAAAUUUGAUCUCUACUCCUUUCUCUACCUUGCUUUAAGCGUAAGGGUAGAAUUUUCAGGUUUCCCCUGGUCAAGAGAAGUUUAUAAGGAAUUAGUUCUUCGAUAAGUUUCCUCCAUAUUCACUAUUCUCUCAAAUUUUGCUUUGUUCUUCUUAUUUCUCUUUUAUGUUUUCGUGUUAUAUGUCUACUGUAUGUGCGUACUAUAUAAUUAAUUUUAUAUCCGUUAAUUUCAUUGUUUGUUUUUUAUCUUGAUGUUGUGUUGUCUAUUCCUCAUUUCUUUAAUUUGGUAUCCAUAUAAUUUUAUUUCCUUUCUACAAUAUUGUGCCAUAAGAGUUAAUUUUCUUAAUCUCGAUUUUACAUUUGAUCUCUACUCCUUUCGCUACCUUCUAUAAGCGUAAGGGUAGAAUUUUCAGGUUGCUCGAGGAAAAGAGAAGUUUAUGGGAAAAUACUUGUCAGGUAAGUUUCCUCCGUAUCCCCUAUUCUCCUCCAUUUGGAAUUGUUGUUCAUUAUUCUCUUUUAUGUUUGAGUGUUAUUUGUUGACCACAUGUAUGUAGUAGAUAAUUAAUUUUCAAUCCUUUGAUUACUUUGGCUUUUUUUAAAAGCUUGAUCUUGUGUUUUCUAUUCCUCAUUUCUUUAGUUUCUUAUCAAAAUAAUUUUAUUUACUUUCAAGGACAUUGUGGUUUUAACAUUUGAUCUCUACCCCUUUCUCUACUUUGCUCUAAGCACAAUGGUAGAAUUUUCAAGUUUUCGGUGGUGAAGAGAAGUUUAUUGGGAAUUAGUUCUCGGAUAAGUUUUCCCCAAAUUCCCUACUCUCUCAAAUAUUGUAUUGUUCUUCAUUUUUAUCUUGUAUGUUUUCAUGUUAUAUUUCUACUAUAUGUAUGUACUAGAUAAUUAAUUUUAUAUCCGUUAAUUUCUUUGUUUGUUUUUUAUCUUGAUGUUGCAUUCUGUAUUCCCCAUUUCUUUAGUUUCGUAUCCAUAUAAUUUUAUUUCCUUUCUACAAUAUUGUGCCAUAAGAGUUAAUUUUCUUAAUCUCGUUUUUAUAUUUAAUCUCUACUCCUUUCGCUACCUUCUAUAAGCGUACGGGUAGAACUUUCAGGUUUCCCUUUGAAAAUAGAAGUUUAUUUGAAAAUACUUGUCAUGUAAGUUUCCUCUGUAUCCCAUAUUCUCCUCCAUUUGGCAUUGUUGUUCAUUCUUCUCUUUUAUGUUAAAGUGCUAUUUGUUGACCGCAUGUAUGUAGUAGAGAAUUAAUUUUCACUCUUUUGAUUUUUUUUUUUUUUUAAGAGCUUGAUCUUGUGUUUUCUAUUCCUCAUUUCUUUAGUUUCGUAUCAGAAUAAUUUGAUUUACUUUAAAGGACAUUAUGGUUUUCACAUUUGAUCUGUACACCUUUCUCUACCUUUCCCAAUAAACUUCCCUUGACCUCAGGAAACCUGAAAAUUCUACCCUUAUGCUUAAAUCAAGGUAGAGAAAGGAGAAGAGAUCAAAUGUUAAAACCACAAUGUCCUAAAGAGUAAAUAAAAUUAUUCGGAUAUGAAACUAAAGAUAUGAGCAAUAGAAAACACAACAUCAAGCUUUUAAAAACAAACAAAUAUAUCAAAGGAUUGAAAAUAAACUCUCUACUACAUACAUGCGGUAAAAAAAUAACACUCAAACAUAAAAAGAGAAGAAUAGAGAACAAUGCGAAAUGGUAAAGAAUAAGGGAUACGGAGGAAACUUACCUGACAAGUAUUUCCAAAUGAGCUUCUCUUUUCCUCGAGACACUUGAAAAUUUUACUCUUAUGCUUAUAGAAAGUAGCGAAAGGAGUAGAGAUCAAAUGUAAAAACGAGAAUAAGAAAAUUAACUCUCAAGACACAAUAUCGUUGACAUGAAAUUAAAUUAUGCUGUUACGAAACUAAAAAAAUGAGAAUAGACAACGCAACAUCAGAAUAAAAAACAAACAAAGGAAUUAACAAAUUCAAAAAUAAUUUUCUAGUACACACAUACAGUAGACGCAUAAGAUGAAAACAUAAAAGAUAAAAAUGAAAAACAGUGCAAAAUUUGAGAGAAUAGGGAAUAGGGAGGAAACUUAUCAAAGAACCAAUUCCCAAUAAACUUCUAUUCACCACGGGAAACCUUAAAAUUCUACCCUUACGCUUAAAGCAAUGUAGAGAAAGGAGUAGAUAUCAAAUGUUAAAACCACAAUGUCCUUGGGAGUAAAUCAAAUUAUUUUGAUACAAAACUAAAAAAAUGAGGAAUAGAAAACACAACAUCAAGCUUUUAAAAAAAAAAACAAAGAAAUCAAAGGAUUGAAAAUUAAUUCUCUACUACACACAAGCGGUCAACAAAUAACACUCAAACAUAAAAGAGAAUAAUGAAGAACAAUGCAAAAUGGAGGAGAAUAGGGAAUACGGAGGAAACUUACCUGACAAGUAUUUCCCUAUAAACUUCUCUUUACCUCGAGAAACUUGAAAAUUCUACCCUUAUAUUUAUAGAAGGUAGCGAAAAGUGUAGACAUCAAAUGUAAAAAUGAUAAUAAGAAAAUUAACUCUUAAGGCUCAAUAUGGUUGAAAGGAAAUCAAAUUCUACUGAUACAAAACUAAAGAAAUGAGGAAUAGACAAUGCAACAUCAAGAUAAAAAACAAACAAAGAAAUUAAUGGAUUCAAUGUUAAUUUUCUAGAACACACAUAUAGUAGACAUAUAACACAAAAACAUAAAAGAUAAAUAAGAAGAACAACCAAGAUUUGAGAGAAUAGGGAAUAUGGAGAAAACUUACCGAAUAACUAAUUCCCAAUAAACUUCUCUUGACUAGGGGAAACCUGAAAAUUCUACCCUUACGCCUAAAACAAGGUAGAGAAAGGAGUAGAGAUCAAAUUUUAAAACCACAAUGUACUUGAAAGUAAAUAAAAAUUUUUUGAUAAGAAACUAAAGAAAUAAGAAAUAGAAAACACAACAUAGAGCUAUAAAAAAAAAACAAUGAAAUCAAAGGAUGGAAAAUUCAUUAUCUACUAAAUACACGCAGUGAACAAAUAACACUCAAACAUAAAAGAGAAAAAUACAUAACAAUGCAAAAUGGUGGAGAAUAGGAAAUACGAAGAAAACUUACUCGACAAGUAUUUCCAAAUACUCUUUUCCUUGGGAAACCUAAAAAAUUCUACCCUUACGCUUAUAGAAUGUAGCGAAAAGAGUAGAGAUCAAAAGUAAAAAUGAGAAUAAGAAAAUUAAUUCUUAAGGUGCAAUAUAGUUGAAAGGAAAUCAAAUUAUGCAAAUACAAAACUAAAGAAAAGAGGAAUAGACAACGCAAGAUCAAAAUUAAAAACAACCAAAGAAAUUAACGGAUUCAAAUUAAUUUUCUAGUACACACAUAUAGUAGACAUAUAACAUGAAAACAUACAAAAUAAAUAUGAAAAACAGUGCAAAAUUUGAGAGAAUAAGGAAUACGGAGGAACCUUAUUCAAGAACUAAUUCCCAAUAAACUUUCCUUCACCACGGGAAACCUGAAAAUUCUACCCUUACGCUUAAAGCAAGGUACAGAAAGGAUUAGAGAUCAAAUGUUAAAAUCACAAUGUCCUUGAAAGUAAAUAAAAUUAUUUUGAUAAGAAACUAAAGAAAUGAGUAAUAGAAAACACAAUAUAGAGCUCUAAAAAAACACAAUGAAAUCAAAGGAUUGAAAAUUAAUUCUCUACUACAUACACGUAGUCAACAAAUAACACUCAAACAAAACAGAGAAGAAUGAAGAACAAUGCGAAAUGGGGGAGAAUAGGGGAUACGAAGAAAACUUACUCGACAAGUAUUUCCAAACAAACUACUCUUUUCCUCGGGAUACCUUAAAAUUCUACUUUCACGCUUACCUGACAAGUAUGGGUGUACUAGAAAAUUAAUUUUGAAUCCGUUAAUUUCUUUGUUUAUUUUUUAUCUUGAUCUUGCGUUGUCUAUUCCUCAUUUCAUUAGUUUUGUAUCUACAUAAUUUGAUUUUCUUUCAACGAUAUUGUGCCUUAAGAGUUAAUUUUCUUAUUCUCGUUUUUACAUUUGAUCUCUACUCCUUCCGCUACAUUCUAUAAGCGUAAAGGUAGAAUUUUCAGGUUUCCCGAGGAAAAGAGAAGUUUGUUUGGAAAUACUUGUCAGGUAAGUUUUCUUCGUAUCCCCUAUUCUCCUCCAUUUCGCAUUGUUCUUCAUUCUUCUCUUUUUUGUUUGAGUGUUAUUUGUUGACUUCGUGUAUGUAGUAGACAACGAAUUUUCAAUCCUUUGAUUUCAUUGUUUUUUUUUAUAACUCUAUGUUAUGUUUUCUAUUACUCAUUUAUUUAGUUUCUUAUCAAAAUAAUUUUAUUUACUUUCAAGGACAUUGUGGUUUUAACAUUUGAUCUCUAAUCCUUUCUGUACCUUGCUUUAAGCGUAAAGGUAGAAUUUUCAGGUUUCCCGUGGUGAAGGAAAAGUUUAUUGGGAAUUAGUUCUUGGAUAAGGUUCCUCCGUAUUCCCUAUUCUCUCAAAUUUUGCACUGUUCUUCAUAUUUAUCUUGUAUGUUUUCAUGUUAUAUGUCUAUUGUAUGUAUGUACUAUAAAAUUAAUUUUGAAUCUGAUAAUGUCUUUGUUUAUUUUUUAUUUUUAUGGUGCGUUGUCUAUUCCUCAUUUCUUUAGUUUCGUAUCAACAUAAUUUGAUUUCCUUUCAACGAUAUUGUGCAUUAAGAGUUAAUUUUCUUAUUCUCGUUUUUACAUUUGAUCUCUACUCGUUUCGCUACAUUCUAUAAGCAUAAGGGUAGAAUUUUCAGGUUUCCCGAGGAAAGGAGAAGUUUUCAAUCCUUUGAUUUUAUUAUUUUCUUUUAGAGCUAUAUGUUGUGUUUUUCUAUUACUCAUUUCUUUAGUUUCUUAUCAAAAUAAUUUUAUUUACCUUCAAGGACAUUGUGGUUUUAACAUUUGAUCUCUACUCCUUUCGCUACAUUCUAUAAGCGUAAGGGUAGAAUUUUCAAGUUUCCCGAGGAAAAGAGAAGUUUGUUUGGAAAUACUUGUCAGGUAAGUUUUCUCCGUAUCCCCUAUUCUCCUUCAUUUCGCAUUGUUCUUCAUUCUUCUCUUUUAUGUUUGAGUGUUAUUUGUUGAAUUCGUGUAUGUAGUAGAGAAUGGAUUUUCAAUCUUUUGAUUUCAUUGUUUUUUUUUAGAGCUCUAUGUUGUGUUUUCUAUUAUUCAUUUCUUUAGUUUCAUAUCAAAUUAAUUUUAUUUACUCUCAAGGAUAUUGAUGUUUUAACAUUUAUUCUCUACACAUUUCUCAACUUGCUUUAAGCGUAAGGGUAGAAUUUUCAGGUUUCCCGUAGUGAAGAGAAGUUUAUUGGGAAUUAGUUAUUGGAUAAGUUUCCUCCGUAUUCCCUAUUCUCUCAAAUUUUGCGUUGUUCUUCAUUUUUAUCUUGUCAGUUUCCUCCGUAUCCUCUAUUCUCCUCCAUCUGGCAUUGUUAUUCAUUCUUCUCUUUUAUGUUUGAGUGUUAUUUGUUGACCGCGUGUAUGUAGUAGAGAAAUAAUUUUCAAUUCUUUGAUUUCGUUUUUUUUUUUUUUAAAAGCUUGAUGUUGUGUUCUCUAUUGCUCAUUUCUUUAGUUUCGUAUCCGAAUAAUUUUAUUUACUUUCAAGGACACUGUGGUUUUAACAUUUGAUCUUUUCUCCUUUCUCUACCUUGCUUUAAGCAUAAGGGUAGAAUUUUCAGGUUUCGCGUGGUCAAGAGAAGUUUAUUGGGAAUUAAUUCUUCGAUAAGUUUCCUCCCUAUUCCUUAUUCUCUCAAAUUUUGCAUUGUUUUUCAUAUUUAUCUUUUAUGUUUUCGUGUUAUAUGUCUACUGUAUGUGUGUACUAGAAAAUUAAUUUAUGAAUCCGUUAAUUUCUUUGUUUGUUUUUUAUCUUGAUCUUGCGUUGUGUAUUCCUCAUUUCAUUAGUUUCGUAUCUACAUAAUUUAAUUUCCUUUAACCGAUAUUGUGCCUUAAGAGUUAAUUUUCUUAUUCUCGUUUUUACAUUUGUAAUCUACUCAUUUCGCUACCUUCUAUAAGCGUAAGGGUAGAAUUUUUAGGUUUCCCCAGGAAAAGAAAUGUUUGUUUGGAAAUACUUGUCAGGUAAGUUUUCUCUGUAUCCACUAUUCUCCUCCAUUUUGUAAUGUUCUUCAUUCUUCUCUUUUAUGUUUGAUUGUUAUUUGUUGAUUGCGUGUAUAUAGUAGAUAAUGAAUUUUCAAUCCUUUGAUUUCAUUGUUUUUUUUUUUAGAGCUCUAUGUUGUGGUUUUUAUUACUCAUUUCUUUAGUUUCUUAUCAAAAUAAUUUUAUUUACUUUCAAGGACAAUGUGGUUUUAACAUUUGAUUUCUACUCUUUUCUCUACCUUGUUUUAAGCGUAAGAGUAAAAUUUUUAGGUUUUCCGUGGUGAAGAUAAGUUUAUUGGGAAUUAGUUCUUGGAUAAGUUUCCUCCGUAUUCCCUAUUCUCUCAAAUUUUGCACGGUUCUUCAUAUUUAUCUUGUAUGUUUUCGUAUUAUAUGUCUACUGUAUGUGUGUGCUAGAAAAUUAAUUUUGAUUCUGUUAACUUCUUUGUUUGUUUUUUAUCUUAAUUUUGCGUUGCUUAUUCCUCAUUUCUUUAGUUUCAUAUCUGCAUAGUUUGAUUUUCUUUCAACCAAAGCCUUAAGAGUUAAUUUUCUUAUUCUUGUUUUUACAUUUGAUCUCUACCCCUUUUGCUUCCUUCUAUAAGCGUAAAGGUAGAAUUUUUAGGUUUCCCAAAGAAAAGAGAAGUUUAUUGGAAAAUACUUGUCAGAUAAGUUUCCUCGAUAUACACUAUUCUCCUUCAUUACGCAUUGUAAUUCAUUCUGCUCUUUUAUGUUUGAGUGUUAUUUGUUGACUACAUGUAUGUAGUAGAGAAUGAAUUUUCAAUCUUUUGAUUUCAUUGUUUUUUUUUAGCUUUAUGUUGAGUUUUCUAUUACUCAUUUCUUAAGUUUCUUAUCAAAAUAAUUUUAUUUACUCUUAAGAAAAUUGUGGUUUUAACAUUUGAUCUCUACUCCUUUCUCGACCUUCCUUUAAGCGUAACGGUAGAAUUUUCAGGUUUCCCGUGGUGAGGAGAAGCUUUUUGGGAAUUAGUUCUUGUAUAAGUUUCCUCUGUAUUCCCCUAUUCUCUCAAAUUUUGCAUUGUUCUUCAUAGUUAUCUUGUAUGUUUUCGUGUUAUAUGUCCACUGUAUAUGUGUACUAGAAAAUUAAUUUUGAAUCCGUUAAUUUCUUUGUUUGUUUUUUAUCUUGAUCUUGCGUUGUCUAUUCCUCAUUUCUUUAGUUUCGUAUCAGCAUAAUUUAAUUUCCUUUCAACGAUAUUGUGUCUUGAGAGUUAAUUUUCUUAUUCUCGUUUUUACAUUUGAUCUCUACGCCUUUCGUUACUUUCUAUAAGCGUAAGGGUAGAAUUUUCAAGUGUCCCGAGGAAAUGAGAAGUUUAUUUGGAAAUACUUGUCAGGUAAGUUUCCUCUGUAUCCCUUAUUCUCUUCCAUUUCGCAUUGUUCUUUAUUAUUCUCUUUUAUGUUUGAGUGUUAUUUUUUAAUCGCAUGUAUGUAGUAGAGAAUAAAUUUUCAAUCCUUUGAUUUCUUUGUUUUCUUUUUAAAAGCUUGUUGUUGUGUUUUCUUCCUCAUUUCUUUAGUUUCGUAUCAGAAUAAUUUGAUUUACUUUCAAGGACAUUGUGCUUUUCACAUUUGAUCUAUACACCUUUCUUUAAGCAUAAGGGUAGAAUUUUCAGGUUUCCCGAGGUCAAGAGAAGUUUAUUGAGAAUUAGUUCUUCGAUAAGUUUCCUCCAUAUUCCCUAUUCUCUCAAAUUAUGCAUUGUUCUUCAUAUUUAUCUUUUAUGUUUUCGUGUUAUAUGUCUAUUGUAUGUAUGUACUAGAAAAUUAAUUUUGAAUCCGUUAAUUUCUUUAUUUGUUUUUUAUCUCGAUGUUGCGUUGUCUAUUCCUCAUUUUUUUAGUUUCGUAUCAGCAUAAUUUAAUUUCAUUUCAACGAUAUUGUGUCUUGAGAGUUAAUUUUCUUAUUCUCGUUUUUACAUUUAAUCUCUACUCCUUUCGCUACUUUCUAUAAGUGUAAGGGUAGAAUUUUCAAGUGUCCCGAGGAAAAGAGAAGUUUAUUUGGAAAUACUUGUCAGGUAAGUUUCCUCCGUAUUCCCUAUUCUCUUCCAUUUCGCAUUGUUCUUUAUUAUUCUCUUUUAUGUUUGAGUGUUAUUUGUUGACCACAUAUAUGUAGUAGAGAAUUAAUAUUCAAUCCUUUGAUUUCUUUGUUUUUUUUUUUAAAAGCUUGAUGUUGUGUUUUCUAUUCCUCAUUUCUUUAGUUUCGUAUCAGAAUAAUUUUGAUUUACUUUCAAGGACAUUGUGGUUUUCAC